rnacentral:rRNA from 1 species
UACAGAGGUCUCAAGCGUUGUUCGGAUUCAUUGGGCGUAAAGGGUGUGUAGGUGGCGCGCUAAGUCGGGUGUGAAAUUUCGGAGCUUAACUCCGAAACUGCAUUCGAUACUGGCGUGCUCGAGGACUGGAGAGGAGACUGGAAUUCCUGGUGUAGCGGUGAAAUGCGCAGAUAUCAGGAGGAACACCGGUGGCGAAGGCGGGUCUCUGGGCCGAUACUGACGCUGAGGAGCGAAAGCGUGGGGAGCGAACAGG